AAUCAACGCUGGCGGCGUGCCUCAGACAUGCAAGUCGAACGAUUAAAGCUCUCUUCGGAGAGUGCAUAGAGUGGCGCACGGGUGAGUAACACGUAAGUAAUCUACCCUCGAGUGGGGAAUAACGUCCGGAAACGGACGCCAAUACCGCAUAAUGCAGCGGCACCACAAGGUGACAGUUGUUAAAGAUUUAUCGCUUGAGGAGGAGCUUGCGGCAGAUUAGCUAGUUGGUAAGGUAAUGGCUUACCAAGUCUACGAUCUGUAACCGGUCUAAGAGGACGGUCGGUCACACUGACACUGAAUAACGGGUCAGACUCCUACGGGAGGCAGCAGUCGGGAAUUUUGGGCAAUGGGCGAAAGCCUGACCCAGCAACGCCGCGUGAAGGAUGAAGUAUUUCGGUAUGUAAACUUCGAAAGAAUAGGAAGAAUUAAUGACGGUACUAUUUAUAAGGUCCGGCUAACUACAUGCCAGCAGCCGCCGUAAAAC
rnacentral:rRNA from 1 species